rnacentral:rRNA from 1 species
GACGAACGCUGGCGGUGUGCUUAACACAUGCAAGUCGAACGGUAAGGCCCUUUCGGGGGUACACGAGUGGCGAACGGGGGAGUAACACGUGAGUAACCUGCCCUCAUCUCUGGGAUAACAGUCGGAAACGGUUGCUAAUACUGGAUAUGAGCUUGCAAGGCAUCUUGUGGGUUGGAAAGAUUUUUUUGGGUGGGGGUUGACUCGGGGCCUAUCAGCUUGUUGGUGAGGUAGUGGCUCACCAAGGCUUCGACGGGUAGCCGGCCUGAGAGGGCGACCGGCCACAUUGGGACUGAGAUACGGCCCAAACUCCUACGGGAGGCAGCAGUGGGGAAUAUUGCACCAGGGACGGCAGUCUGAUGCAGCAACGCCGCGUGCGGGAUGACGGCCUUCGGGUUGUAAACCGCUUUCAAUUGUGACGAAGCUUUUUGUGACGGUAGCAGUAGAAGAAGCACCGGCUAACUACGUG